UACGGAGGGUGCGAGCGUUGUCCGGAAUCAUUGGGCGUAAAGGGCGCGUAGGUGGCUUCUUAAGCGUGCGGUGAAAGCCUGGGGCUCAACCCCGGGUCGGCCGUGCGAACUGGGGGGCUGGAGCACUGUAGAGGCAGGCGGAAUUCCGGGUGUAGCGGUGGAAUGCGUAGAGAUCCGGAAGAACACCGGUGGCGAAGGCGGCCUGCUGGGCAGUUUUGCUGACACUGAGGCGCGACAGUGUGGGGAGCAAACAGG
rnacentral:rRNA from 1 species